CCUACGGGUGGCAGCAGUGGGGAAUAUUGGGCAAUGGAGGAAACUCUGACCCAGCAACGCCGCGUGAAUGAUGAAGGUCCUCGGAUUGGAAAGUUCUUUUUGUAGGGAAGAAGAGAGUGAGAGUAGCUUAGGAAUAAGCCUCGGCUAACUACGAGCCAGAAGCAGCGUUAAUACGUAGGAGGCGAGCGUUAUGCGGAAUGACUGGGCGUAAAGGUUUCGUAGGUGGUUUGGCAAGUUAGUAGCGUAGCUCCAAGGCUCAACCUUGGAACUGCUACUAAAACUGUUGGACUUGAGUGCAGGAGGGGCAAGCGGAAUUCCUAGUGUAGCGGUGGAAUGCGUAGAUAUUAGGCGGAACACCAGUGGCGAAGGCGGGUUGCUAGACUGUAACUGACACUGAGGCACGAAAGCGUGGGGAGCAAACAGGAUUAGAUACCCGGGUAGUC
rnacentral:rRNA from 1 species